GCCUCCAGAGCCCUGAGAUAAGUAAACUCUUUCCUUCCUAAGUAGACUCUCAGAUGUUUCCCUGUGGUGAUAAAAGCUGAAUAAUAUACAUAGUAUUCCCUUUCUUAUGGAUAUUACCUUUUAAUCCCAUAGGCUGGCCUCUGGGCUCUAGUGGCACCAAGGGAAAGAGUACAGGGAGAGGCUGAAGUUGGCAAAAAAGGCUGGCAUUCUGUCCUACAUGGCCGUGUUGUGAGGUAGUGUGAAGACCUAAGGCCUAGAACUGUGGCAGCCAUCUUGUGACAAUGAGGUACCAUGUCCUGAAGGAUACAUAGCUAGAGUGACCAAUAAAAGUGGAAGAUCCAACUUUCUGAAGGGCAGCCUUAACCUUGGAGUAACUGCAGUACAAACCGACAUUCAGUUUCAGAAUCUUGCCACUUGCAAGAAUUUAAAGAGGACCACCUUGCCAAGUGUUUCUUGUUCAUGUGAAGCUAUUGGUGUUCCUUUAUGAUUAAUUAUGCACAGGAUAUCUGGACCUGAGAAGCUGAAAACUGUAGGAAAGACGUAGGCAGGAUCUUCCCUUAUGAAUACAGACUAUAAAAAAUAAUUGGACUGGCCAUGGCUUUAGCUCAACAUGGGUUGUAUGACUGAUGACCACGUGUGAAUUUAUUUAGGACAGAGUAUAGCAGAAGGCACAACUGCUGGGUCAUUGGGAUCUGAUCUGGCUGGCUGAGGCCAUAUCUCUGAGGAGGGAGGAAUGGAGUUUCCUUUAUAGCAAGUGAUGCAAACGGAAGAGACUGUACUGUGGCAGGAAGUAAUUCUAAUAAUAUGAAAAACUUUUAAAUACCAAGGAGUGUAAUAAGGGCUUACCUGAAUUAUUCCUUUAAAUCCUCGAAAAGAUCCUACGAAAAAAAGUUACCACUUUUAGCUCAAUUUCACAAAAUGAAGAAAUCCAUGCAUGGAGAGGUUAAGUAACUUGUCCAAUAUUAUACAGCCACUAAGUAAUAGAGCUGGGAUUUGAAUUUAGUCAGGCUCCGGAAACAUGGCGUGCCACCUCUUUAAACUAUGUCUGACGUCCUUGAGUGAUGUUUGUGUGGCGCAAGUGAAAGGGAGAAGGGAAGCUGGGUAAACUGGAAGUGCAUGUUGCUGUGCUGGAGGAAGGCGGGCCCAUACCCAUGUGACUGUCUUAUCUGGGUAACUUCUCCGCUCUCCAGUUCUAAAGCAGUAUCGUUAAGCUGUCACUUGGAGUGAUGCAACAAUGGAUGAUCCAUUGUGGUCACUAAAAUAAUGGACAAGGGGAAAUCGGUGACAGUGGUUGUGAAGGAUGAUUCAUGCUGUGUCCAUCUGACAUUAAAAGCGAGGUUGUGCUGGGUGUGGUGGCUCACGCUUGUAAUCCCAGUGGCUUGGGAGGCAGAGGCAGAAGGAUCGC